rnacentral:rRNA from 1 species
UACGUAGGGUGCGAGCGUUGUCCGGAAUUAUUGGGCGUAAAGAGCUCGUAGGCGGUCUGUCGCGUCGGUCGUGAAAACUUGGGGCUUAACCCUGAGCUUGCGGUCGAUACGGGCAUGACUGGAGUUCGGCAGGGGAGACUGGAAUUCCUGGUGUAGCGGUGAAAUGCGUAGAGAUCAUGAGGAAGACCAGUGGCGAAGGCGGCUCACUGGCCCGAUACUGACGCUGAGGCACGAAAGCGUGGGGAGCAAACAGG